UACGAAGGGGCUAGCGUUGCUCGGAAUCACUGGGCGUAAAGGGUGCGUAGGCGGGUCUUAAGUCAGGGGUGAAAUCCUGGAGCUCAACUCCAGAACUGCCUUUGAUACUGAAGAUCUUGAGUUCGGGAGAGGUGAGUGGAACUGCGAGUGUAGAGGUGAAAUUCGUAGAUAUUCGCAAGAACACCAGUGGCGAAGGCGGCUCACUGGCCCGAUACUGACGCUGAGGCACGAAAAGCGUGGGGAGCAAACAGGG
rnacentral:rRNA from 1 species